CCACAGCUGUUUAUCGAAGUCUAGACCACACAUUCAAGCAUUCGAGUUGCCGGACAGACAACCACACUCAAAGUUUUCGUUGUCCUAGAUUGUGACUCGGUGGAAAAUUGUUAGGUGGGACAAACAAUCACACACAACCAACGUUUCCGCUGUGGUAGAUCACUAAAGAACGAUAAAGAAGCAAAAGAUUGUGAUGAAAGUCCAGAUGAACAACGAUUUGAAGAGCCGGACCAAGACCCUGAAAAUUGCAGUCAGCAUACCAGGUACUAUAUCUACUGCGUUGGAGGAGCAGACAUAAGGACCAACUUGUUGUGGUCGGUGAGGGAGUUGAUGCGGUCGAGUUGAUAAGUCUGCUUAGAAAGAAGACGGGAUACACAGAUCUCAUUAGCAUCGAAGACGUCCAUGAGAAUAUAGAGAAGAAGGACGAAGAAGGCGGGGGCGAGAAGAAAGACAAAGCAGGUGGUGGCAGCAAGAAGAAGGACAAGCCAGACGAUUGUGAGAAGAAGGACAAAGAAGGCGGCGGCAGAGCUGGCGAGAAGAAUGACAAGGCGAGCGGAGAACUGAGAAAGAUGGGGGCGAACAAAGUGUACGGCGGCUGGUUUAUGUAUGGGCCUGAUACAUGUGCGGAGGCUGUCCCAGACAAACCAAAACUACAAGAAUGGCUGCUGACGGCGGCCCAUUAAGAAGAAGAAAAACUUCCACUGGGCUCGCCUUCAUAGUGUCCGUAUGCCAUUCAAUAUAGCAGCUGGAGCAGGGACGAUGACAAUCCAUCUCUGCGAGUGGGCCUACAGGUUCUCUCCAUCUCUUGUGGUGGUUUGGUUGUAGCUUGGAUGUGGUGGGAAGUAGUGGGACAUUGAUAUCCGUUUUCGAGCCUUUUUAUUUAUUUAUUUAUUGAGACUGCCAUGUAAGGAUACGGAUAAAGCUGAUAUUCGUGUUUUCCCUUCAUCCAUUCGGGUGUGUGUGACCUAUUCAACAGAUUGGAUGGUAAAUGACCAUUAGGGGUCGCUUGACACCGUAGA